GACGAACGCUGGCGGCGUGCUUAACACAUGCAAGUCGAACGGAAAGGCCUUUUCGGAGGUACUCGAGUGGCGAACGGGUGAGUAACACGUGGGUGAUCUGCCCUGCACUCUGGGAUAAGCCUGGGAAACUGGGUCUAAUACCGGAUAGGACCGCACUUUAGUGUGUGUGGUGGAAAGUUUUUUCGGUGUAGGAUGAGCCCGCGGCCUAUCAGCUUGUUGGUGGGGUAAUGGCCUACCAAGGCGGCGCCGGGUAGCCGGACUGAGAGGUUGGUCGGCCACAUUGGGACUGAGAGACGGCCCAGACUCCGACGCGAGGCAGCAGGGGGGAAUAUUGCACAAGGGGCGCAGGCCGGAUGCAGCGACGCCGCGGGGGGGAGGACGGCCUUCGGGUGGAAAAAUCCUUGCGCCAGGGACGAAGCGUUUUGUGACGGUACCUGGAGAAGAAGCACCGGCUAACUACGUG
rnacentral:rRNA from 1 species